rnacentral:rRNA from 1 species
AAGGAUAUUCACAGCUUUAAUCUUGCUAUGUUAGCAAAGGAGUGUUGGCGACUACUCCAAAAUCGUGAUUCUUUGUGUGCACGAGUUCUGAGGGCAAAAUAUUAUCCCAGUGGAGAUAUUCUGAAAUCUGGCCCCAAAAAAGGUUCUUCGUUCACUUGGCACAGUAUUGUAGCUGGUAUUCAAACUUUUAGAAGGGGAUGCAUAUGGCGUGUGGGUUCUGGUUCACACAUUAACAUUUGGGAUGACCCGUGGAUACCCACUAGUAUGAACAGAAAGCCUAUUACCCCUAGGGGGUAUUAUGCUAACAAAAGUGAAAGAGAUAAUUGACCCCACACAGGACAAUGGGAUGAGGCACUUAUUCACAACGUCUUUUUUUCUGUCGAUGUGCAUAGAAUUCUACAAAUUCCUCUUCAUAUGAAGGCCGUUGAAGAUUUUAUAGCUUGGCAACAUACAAGGACGGGGACCUUUUCCGUGCGUUCGGCAUACCAUGUUGAAUUUGAGCAUCAAUUCGGACAUCACUUGAAUUGGACUAGCCCAAGUAGUGCCUCACUAAAUGGAGUUUGGAAAGAUCUUUGAAAACUGUGACUACCAGGGAAGAUCAAACACUUUGGCUGGAAAGUGUUGAAGGGGGUUCUUCCAUGCUAUGGUGUCCUUGCUAAUAGACAUAUUCCUCUGAUCCCGCAAUGUCCGAUCUGUUCCACCGGAUUAGAAGAUAUACAACAUUGCUUAUUCACUUGUACCGGGGCACGCGCAAUUUGGACGGAGCUAGGACUAUCACAGGAGAUUGAACGGGUGGUUUGCCGGGACCGACCGGGCUCUAUUAAUCUUGACAGACUGAUAUAG